UAUAGUAGACGUGCCCAGUCGUAGGGGGAUAACGUAGAGAAAUUUACGCUAAUACCGCAUACGAUCUAAGGAUGAAAGCGGGGGAUCGCAAGACCUCGCGCGAUUGGAGCGGCCGAUAUCAGAUUAGGUAGUUGGUGAGGUAAAGGCUCACCAAGCCGACGAUCUGUAGCUGGUCUGAGAGGACGACCAGCCACACUGGGACUGAGACACGGCCCAGACUCCUACGGGAGGCAGCAGUGGGGAAUUUUUGGACAAUGGGCGCAAGCCUGAUCCAGCAAUGCCGCGUGCAGGAUGAAGGCCUUCGGGUUGUAAACUGCUUUUGUACGGAACGAAACGGUGAGCUCUAAUACAGUUUGCUAAUGACGGUACCGUAAGAAUAAGCACCGGCUAACUACGUG
rnacentral:rRNA from 1 species